GACGAACGCUGGCGGCGUGCUUAACACUUGCAAGUCGAACGGAAAGGCCCUGCUUUUGUGGGGUGCUCGAGUGGCGAACGGGUGAGUAACACGUGAGUAACCUGCCCUUGACUUUGGGAUAACUUCAGGAAACUGGGGCUAAUACCGGAUAGGAGCUCCUGCUGCAUGGUGGGGGUUGGAAAGUUUCGGCGGUUGGGGAUGGACUCGCGGCUUAUCAGCUUGUUGGUGGGGUAGUGGCUUACCAAGGCUUUGACGGGUAGCCGGCCUGAGAGGGUGACCGGCCACAUUGGGACUGAGCUACGGCCCAGACUCCUACGGGAGGCAGCAGUGGGGAAUAUUGCACAAUGGGCGGAAGCCUGAUGCAGCAACGCCGCGUGCGGGAUGACGGCCUUCGGGUUGUAAACCGCUUUCGCCUGUGACGAAGCGUGAGUGACGGUAAUGGGUAAAGAAGCACCGGCUAACUACGUG
rnacentral:rRNA from 1 species